UUUGUUCGUACUAAGUCAAACUUAUUCAAUUUCGACCAAAGUUAUAAAAAAAAGCAACAACUAUACUAUCAAACAUAUGUACCAUCUAACAUAUUCUAUGGCGGAUUCAACCAUACAAAUUUGGUAUUGCAAAUGUUAUUGUAUUUUUCUAUGAACUUAGUUAAAGGUGAAUAAGUUUGACUUAGGAUAAACCAAA
rnacentral:pre_miRNA from 1 species